rnacentral:misc_RNA from 1 species
GAUGAAGAACGUAGCGAAAUGCGAUACGUAAUGUGAAUUGCAAAUUCAGUGAAUCAUCGAGUCUUUGAACGCACAUUGCGCCCGCCAGUAUUCUGGCGGGCAUGCCUGUCUGAGCGUCAUUUCAACCCUCACGCCCCUAGGGCGUGGUGUUGGGGAUCGGCCAGCGCCCUCGCGGGCGAGGCCGUCCCCUAAAUCUAGUGGCGGACCCGUCGUGGCCUCCCCUGCGAAGUAGUGAUAUUCCGCAUAGGAGAGCGACGAGCCCCUGCCGUUAAACCCCCAACUUUCUCAGGUUGACCUCAGAUCAGGUAGGAAUACCCGCUGAACUUAAGCAUAUCAAUAAGCGGAGGA